AAUUUAAAAAUUAUUGUAUUUAUUAGUUUAUAUUUUAUUUAUAAUAAAUAAAUUAUAUUUUAUUAAAGAAAAAGAAUAAAUUAAUUUUAUUAUAGUUAAUUAUUAUUGUAAAAGAAAUUAUAUUAAUUAUUUAUAAGAAAAAUUUAAUUUUUGUACCUUGUGUAUCAGGGUUUAUUAAUAAAUAAAUUUAUAUAAAUUAAUCUCGAAUUUAAAAGAGUUAAGAAAUUAUUUUUUUUAUUGUUAAAUAAAUAUUAUUAAUAAUUUUUUAGUAAUGAAAUGUUAUUCGUUUUUAAAAAUAUCUAGUUUUUUAAGAAAUAAAUUUAAUUUAUUUAUUAUAAAUAAAAUUUUAAAUUUUUAAAUUUUUAUUAGUAAUAGAUAAAAUUUUUAGGGAUGAGCUUAAAAAUUAAUUUUUAUUUAUUUAUAAAUAAAAUAAAAUUGUAGGAUUAAAAAUUUUUAUCAAUAAAAAAAUGUUAUAAUUAAUUUAUAAUUAAAUAUUAUUUUUAUAAAUAUUAAAUUUUAUAUUAAAAUGUUAAUUUAAAUUUUUAAAAUUAAGUAAUUAUGAUAAAAUUAGUAUAAAUUUAUAUUUUAAUAUUUGAUUAUAUUAAGGUAAAUUAAAAGAAUUCGGCAAAUUAUUUUUUACCUGUUUAUUAAAAACAUGUCUUUUUGAUAAUAAUUAAAAGUCUAACCUGCCCAAUGAGUAUUUUAAUGGCCGCGGUAUCUUGACCGUGCUAAGGUAGCAUAAUCAAUAGUUUUUUAAUUGAAAGCUGGAAUGAAGGGUUGGAUAAAAAAAUAACUGUUUUUACUUUAUUUAAUUAGAAUUUUAUUUUUAAGUUAAAAAGCUUAAAUUUUAUUAAAAGACGAGAAGACCCUAUAGAGUUUUAUAAUUUUAAAAUUUUUUAGUUUAAGAAUUUACUUUUUUAAUUUUUAAAAUUAUUUAAUUGGGGUGAUUAAAAAAUUAAUAUAACUUUUUUUGUAGAUUUACAAAAUUAAUUGAGUUUUUGAUCCAUAUAUAAUGAUUAUAAGAUUAAAUUACCUUAGGGAUAACAGCGUUAUUUUUUUUAAGAGUUCAAAUCGAAAAAAAAGAUUGCGACCUCGAUGUUGGAUUAAAAUUAAUUUUUGGUGUAGAAGCUAAAAUAUUAGGUCUGUUCGACCUUUAAAAUUUUACAUGAUCUGAGUUUAAACCGGUGUAAGCCAGGUUGGUUUCUAUCUUUAAUAAUAUAUAAUAUUUUAGUACGAAAGGAUUAAAUAUUAAAUUAAUAAUUUUAAUUUAGAAUAAAUUU
rnacentral:rRNA from 1 species